rnacentral:lncRNA from 1 species
AGAAACGAUUAGUUUAAUAUACCAAAAUAAACAUUUAGCAUAAACAAAGAAAAGACAUAGGAAACAAAUUAAAAUGAGCUAAUGAUGCACAUGAAAAUUUAUGAAUCUGAAACACCUAUCCUAAUCCUUUUGAGGAUGAGGAGGCAGUGGAGGAAAAUUAGCCACAAGUUGAGCUAAUUGAUCCUCUAAAGAUGAAAACCUUGAGCCCAUGUUAUCUUCCAACCUAGACACCUUAGAGUCUAAUCCUCUAAAUUCCUCUUGUACUAAUCUAAUAGCAUCAAAUAUGGAAAGAGUAUCAGCAUAGAACGAUGGUGCUUGCGGUGGAGCGAAUGAAGAAGCAAGUGGCGAAACUUUCUCGGGUGAAGGUACAUCAUUGGGAUUUCCUCCAAAGUCUUCAUCAUAUUGGGCGUUAGUUGUCCACUUUUGAUCCAUUCAACGGAGAUAGAGUCCAACCGAUAACCGGCAUGACGAAGUGCCCCAAAACCUAUAGGUUGGUGUUUCUUUACAGGAGGGUCACCACGAGCUUUGAUAUGAAGACAAGUGAAAAUAUAAAAAAGGUAGGUCCCAAAAGGAAGAUUUAAUGAGCUACCGAGCUCCUUCUCAAUGACUUUAGUUAUAUCAUUGAACAUGAGAAGCGUGAGGUCGGGAGGCCUAUUGGACUUAAAACAAUCGAUCCACCAAUAGUUGAUGGACCAAAUGAAUACAUGUUUAGAAAUAGGCCUAAGAACCCAAGUAAUAAUGAAGUGCAAAAGACGGUCAUGAAUGUCUAGAUUAGAAAAAAGAUGGGAUUCAACAUAUAAUGCGGGACUAAAGAAACCUUUUUCAUUAGAGACACCACCAGAGGGUAAGGAUAAUAAAUUUUUGAAAUCUUCAAGAGUGAGGCAAAUAAGAGUGUUCAUCAAAUAUGAGUUAAUGGAAAUAAUGGACUCAUCCGACUCAUCAUGUUCAAGCUUGGAAUUAGAAUAAAAGGCCUGAACAAGAUUUUCAAAAGUCGUAGAACAGUUUUUUAAGAAGUCAAUCCAUUGCCAAUCUCGUAAAAUUUGAAGGUGAUAGAAAUUCAUAGUCUUUAAAUCACCUAAAUCAAGUGGUAUAGAGGUGUUAACAAGCCUAGAAGCAAAAUAGGUAUUAAAUUGCAUUCGUUCCCUUGGAGAACGAAAACAUUCACUAAGGGAUGAACUAGACCCACUAAAAGGGAUGGAGGAAUGAGCAUCGAUCUUAGAUUGUUUCUUUAAAGGCAUUGUAACGAACUAAGGUUCUAGACACGCUAAAAUAACUCAGAAAAUUCGUUUGGGAAUUUCUACGAACACUCGGUGGGUAAAAGGCAACAAUUUUUUUUUAAAAAAUGUGGGUAAGUUUAAGGCAACCUCUUGUACGAAUCAUAACAUAUGUAUGUUCUAAAUCAACCCAAUAACUCAAUAUUCAACUAAUAAUUUAACAAAAAUUAAAGUUGAAAAAUAUGAGUUUUUACCUCAAAAUUUACUUUGAAAGAUGAAAUUCCUUAACAAUCUUUCUGAAUCCUUGUUAAAAAUGACAAUGUGUGUUCCUUUGUUUGAAGAUUUGAAGGAAAAAAAUGAAAGAUUUGAGAGUUAGGGUUGAAAGGGUUUCAAAAUCAGGUGAAGAGAAAAUUUUGGGGAAAAACUAUUUUGAAUUUAAAAACACGCUGCAGAAUAUUUAAAGCCCAAUAGGUAUCGAUAUUUUU